rnacentral:rRNA from 1 species
GAUGAACGCUGGCGGCGUGCCUAAUACAUGCGAGUCGAGCGAACAGACGAGGAGCUUGCUCCUCUGACGUUAGCGGCGGACGGGUGAGUAACACGUGGAUAACCUACCUAUAAGACUGGGAUAACUUCGGGAAACCGGAGCUAAUACCGGAUAAUAUAUUGAACCGCAUGGUUCAAUAGUGAAAGACGGUUUUGCUGUCACUUAUAGAUGGAUCCGCGCCGCAUUAGCUAGUUGGUAAGGUAACGGCUUACCAAGGCAACGAUGCGUAGCCGACCUGAGAGGGUGAUCGGCCACACUGGAACUGAGACAGGUCCAGACUCCUACGGGAGGCAGCAGUAGGGAAUCUUCCGCAAUGGGCGAAAGCCUGACGGAGCAACGCCGCGUGAGUGAUGAAGGUCUUCGGAUCGUAAAACUCUGUUAUUAGGGAAGAACAAAUGUGUAAGUAACUAUGCACGUCUUGACGGUACCUAAUCAGAAAGCCACGGCUAACUACGUG